UUUAAUUUUUGUCCUCGGCCGAGCCUUGGUCGCUUCCCAAUCCGCUUUACCUCUACUGUUGGUUCUCUCUGGCUUGCAAUUCUGGUGCUGCUCCGAUCCUUAUCCGCCCAAUUGCUCCGGUUUAUCCACCAGAUCCUCGCCUGCUAAUAUCCGUCCGCAAACGAUUGUAUCCCGUUGUUACGGUCUCUGCGUCGCCAUCCGGAAACGAUGGUGGCAGCCUAGGCGCUGUUACGAUAGACAUCGAUAUGGAACUUUAACGGCACAAGAGAAAAAGGCACGUGCGCAAGCUGCAAUUGAAAGCCGAAAACAUGCACGAGCAUUUGUGCCGGCUACAUCCCCACAACAGCCAUCUCGGACUACUGAAGUUACCCCGGAUCGCUCUUACUCCAGGCGCUGUUGUUAUAGACGUCGAUAUGCAAGUUUAACCCCACAAUAGAGAAAAGCGCGUGCCAAGGCUGCGAUUGAAAGCCAAAAGCUUGCACAAGUAUCUUUGCUGGGUGCCACCCCACAAUAACCAUCUCACGUUGCUGAAGUAAAAGGGUUCAAAUGAGUGAUUUUGCCAUGUAUUGCAACAAAUAUGGGGCCACUCUUGAGGCUCAUGCAAGGUGAUAGAUCCUUAUCUGCAUCAAAUUUGAAUCAUCUCAACUCUCAUACAUAUAUAUCUUGUGAUGUAUGUAAUAAUUUUCCUUAUCCAACUACUGCUAGUUACAUGCUAAAAAUAGUGGUGGAUGAUGGUUUGCGGCAAGUCCAGUUGAAAAUAUUUGAUGCUACAGAAAAAAAAAAAUAUUUGGUGCUUUAUUAA